CUUGGAUGUGCUCACGUCUCUGGUGAGCUCAGGGGCCACAGCACCAGUCAAGCAGCUUGGUAAAGCAUCAUUUGCAGCAUGAACAGAGAUCCAGCUCUCAGCGGACAUGAAGACCGUUGCCCAGAGUGGCCACUGACCCUGAGAGGAGACAGUGCCUAGCGGAAGCAGAAGCUUCUCAGGAAAGCGGCUCUCAAGGGCUCUCAUCCAAGCUGCAGUGCUGUGACCACAUUUGCUAACACUGCUGAGAAGCCCCGAGCCAGUACGGAAAGGUUACAGCACAUUUUGUGCCUUGCUUGAAUUUUGAACAGCAGUGCGCAAGUCCAGAGAGCUCCAGCCUUCACUGAGGCCAGCCGGCUCACCAGCCACAGCCCCAAAGAGCAUGCGAAGUUGUGAACAUCCAUACCUAUUCGUGUGAGUCCCACAGCUGUGGAUUUAUCGCACGGAAGCAGAACAGCACUCAGGUUUGUUUAUGGCUUCAUGGGCAAAGACCAGACGCAGAGACAGGACAGCAGUGAGGAGCAGAAAUGGAUGGCAGAUCCUGAGAGAAGGUACAUGUCCUGACCUGGAGCAACUGACUCUCGCCCAUCCUAUAGCACAGCACAGUGCAAAAGCAGCGUCACUUAGCAAUUUUUAGAUGGCAUUUAGGACAAUCUUUCUACAGGAUAAAUGGGAUUUUGUGUUCCAAAAAUAGGUUACUAAAAUGUUCCUGGCCAGUUCAUCUCCUGUUCUUGGUGCAGGAAGAUGUCAUAGACUAAUUUCCUGACAAUGCAUGCUAAAACAGACCAGGAAACCAGCAGAUUUCUCCUUUUAGUUAUAUCUGUAGGAAAGGGUUUUCUUUGUUGCCAUCACUGUUUUAGAAACCCUGGCACCUAGCUCCUGUAGACACUGUUGGCAGGCGAGCACCAGAAGAGGACUCAGAUGCUUCAGAAAUCUUGUUGUGUUUGGACUCACAGGGAGCUAAGUUCCUGUGUCAUUUUUGGGGAGUUUACCUAUGAUUAGUGAGCCCUUGCCGGAAUUCUGCAAGCACAUCUCGACCUGGACACGGGGACUAAACCGAACUGUCAGGAAGAGAAGAACAGGGAACCAGCGCACAGAGCAUCCAGAGUGUCGGAGCCAGGUAUGCGACCCAGCAGGCAGAUGUGACAGGUGCAGGAAAAAACAGAGAGUGAUGAGGAGAGAAAACACAGUCCUGCACAUGCUUACUCACAGAUAUAAUCCUUGCUUGCCCAAAAAAAGGAUUAAAUCUUGCAAACCAUAUCAGGAUUAGAAGUAGGCUUCCAAGCUUUCCUUCACAUAGAGUUAUUAAUAUGUAGCAUUAUUUUCCACUGCGUACUGGGAUGGUUAUGCAUGUUCCCAAAGCAUUCAGGACUAUCAAUAAAACUUUGGAUUCAGAAGCAUGGAAAUGAUCCAUUUUGGUUUUCCUUUCCAUAGAUGGCCAGUGCUCUGAUCCUAGCAAAUGACCUAGAUUCCUCGGAGAAGAAAUUUAAUCGCUCGCAGGGAGCCGAUGCUCAACAGAUCACAAUAUUUGUUCUCUGAUCCAGUCACAAAGACGUCAUCGAGCUUACAGCACGCCGACUUCUCAUGACUAAUCUGCACAGAAAUAUCAUCCAGGAAGCUCUUUACAGAGAACGGGAAAGUGCAAAUACUACGCUCAGGUUUUCAGCUAAAUGGGCAUGUGACGCUGUGUUUUAAUUUUAUGUUAAAUGUCCUAGCCAGAAAUCUCAUGUGGCAGCUGCUCCUGAGAAUUCUGUAAUAUGAUAAUUAAAUGUCUGCCUAUAAACAAAAGUGUUUGUAUUACAAGCGCUCUCCCAUGGCAUUUAACUACGCUGCAUGAAUCAGAGACAGGCACAGAAGCAGUUUUUCUCGGGUCUAAGCAAGUCUCCUAUUCUAUCCCAAGAGAAAUCGAAGGCAAUGUGUGCUCUUUCCCCAGCAGCGUUGCCCAGCACAGUCCUAGCAAUAAAAAUAAUUAGCUCUCUUACGUUUAUAUUGUAUAUGUAUCUUCUAUUCCAAAGAAUUCUCAAAGCUAUUUACUAACUGCAUAUCUAUCUCAGCAUUUGAGACUGCUGCUGUAUCAUGGGUCGAUUGCAACCGCAAAGUCUCAUGUGGACUUUGCAGAGCCUCUGGCUCUUCUUUCGGAAACAAAUGCAAAGGCUGGUACCAAAACCUCUGGCAGGAAGAAAAAAUUCCCAUGCCAUUAAAUCCAGCCACUUCUGAAAGACAGCUGUCUACAGGAGUCCAGGACAGAUCAUGAGAAAAAGUGCCACAGCCAGCUGGAAGCACGUGUUGAAUUCAGGUGGCUGGGAUAUUACCUCCAAGGAGAUACCCACACGAUCCAAGAAGUGCCCUGUGCUCUCCUAAUACACACCAGCCAAAGGCUUGCGCAGGAGUCGACCAGUAAUUUUUCAUUAUACUUUCCCAUGUGGGUGCAGCACACAGCCGCCACGGGCUGGACACUAUUCCUGGGCUAGUAAACCUUCUCCAAAACAGCGGAGCAGUGCAGAGGAUCCGAACGGCUCCUUGCCGUUCCCUCUCCUAGCUGGCUGAUCUGGUGUUGAGCCCUGGUUGACCCAGACGAGCAAUGUACUUGUGCUCACAUAACCUCGCGUGUGAGCUAACAACCUCUGACAGAUAGUAGCGUACUGACUGCGCAGAACUCAAAUAACCAGAGGCCUGACUCUGAUCUAUCGACACCCAUCUUACCCCAGCGCAGCGCCACUGAUUUCUGCUGAAAUACUG